rnacentral:rRNA from 1 species
UGGGGAAUUUUGGACAAUGGGCGAAAGCCUGAUCCAGCAAUGCCGCGUGUGUGAAGAAGGCCUUCGGGUUGUAAAGCACUUUUGUCCGGAAAGAAAUCCUUGGCUCUAAUACAGUCGGGGGAUGACGGUACCGGAAGAAUAAGCACCGGCUAACUACGUGCCAGCAGCCGCGGUAAUACGUAGGGUGCAAGCGUUAAUCGGAAUUACUGGGCGUAAAGCGUGCGCAGGCGGUUUGCUAAGACCGAUGUGAAAUCCCCGGGCUCAACCUGGGAACUGCAUUGGUGACUGGCAGGCUAGAGUAUGGCAGAGGGGGGUAGAAUUCCACGUGUAGCAGUGAAAUGCGUAGAGAUGUGGAGGAAUACCGAUGGCGAAGGCAGCCCCCUGGGCCAAAUACUGACGCUCAUGCACGAAAGCGUGGGGAGCAAAACAGGAUUAGAUACCCUGGUAGUCCACGCCCUAAAACGAUGUCAACUAGUUGUUGGGGAUUCAUUCCUUAGUAACGUAGCUAACGCGUGAAGUUGACCGCCUGGGGAGUACGGUCGCAAGAUUAAAACUUAAAGGAAUUGACGGGGUCAUAGCUGUUUCCU